UACGUAGGUGACCAGCGUUGUCCGGAUUUACUGGGCGUAAAGAGCGCGCAGGCGGUCGUUCAAGUCGAGUGUGAAAGCCCCCGGCUCAACUGGGGAGGGUCAUUCGAUACUGAUCGACUGGAGGGCAGGAGAGGGAAGCGGAAUUCCCGGUGUAGUGGUGAAAUGCGUAGAUAUCGGGAGGAACACCAGUGGCGAAGGCGGCUUCCUGGCCUGUUCUUGACGCUGAGGCGCGAAAGCUAGGGGAGCAAACGGG
rnacentral:rRNA from 1 species